GGUGUAAUAGCCUAGUGGUAAGGCUUGAGGGUUUGGCCUACAGGUCAGGUGAUCAAACCCCUAGGGUUACACCA
rnacentral:tRNA from 1 species